rnacentral:rRNA from 1 species
GACGAACGCUGGCGGCACGCUUAACACAUGCAAGUCGAACGAGAGAAGAGAAGCUUGCUUUUCUGAUCUAGUGGCGGACGGGUGAGUAACACGUGAGCAAUCUGCCUUUCAGAGGGGGAUACCGAUUGGAAACGAUCGUUAAUACCGCAUAAUAUAAUUGAACCGCAUGAUUUGAUUAUCAAAGAUUUAUCGCUGAAAGAUGAGCUCGCGUCUGAUUAGCUAGUUGGUAAGGUAACGGCUUACCAAGGCGACGAUCAGUAGCCGGACUGAGAGGUUGAUCGGCCACAUUGGGACUGAGACACGGCCCAGACUCCUACGGGAGGCAGCAGUGGGGAAUAUUGCACAAUGGAGGAAACUCUGAUGCAGCGAUGCCGCGUGAGGGAAGAAGGUUUUAGGAUUGUAAACCUCUGUCUUCAGGGACGAAAAAAGACGGUACCUGAGGAGGAAGCUCCGG